rnacentral:rRNA from 1 species
UGCAGUCGAACGCAGUAGCAAUACUGAGUGGCGAACGGGUGAGUAUAAUGUGGGUAUCUGCCUUUUGGUUUGGAAUAACACGAGGAAACUUGUGCUAAUACCGAAUAAGCCCUUACGGGGAAAGUUUUAACGCCGAAAGAUGAGCCCGCACUUGAUUAGCUUGUUGGUAGGGUAAUAGCCUACCAAGGCUACGAUCAAUAGCUGAUCUGAGAGGAUGAUCAGCCACAUUGGGACUGAGACACGGCCCAAACUCCUACGGGAGGCAGCAGUAGGGAAUCUUGCACAAUGGGGGAAACCCUGAUGCAGCGAUGCCGCGUGAGUGAAGAAGGCCCUUGGGUUGUAAAGCUCUUUCGUCGGGGAAGAAAAUGACUGUACCCGAAUAAGAAGGUCCGGCUAACUUCGUGCCAGCAGCCGCGGUAAUACGAAGGGACCUAGCGUAGUUCGGAAUUACUGGGCUUAAAGAGCACGUAGGUGGUUAGAGAAGUUGAUGGUGAAAUCCCAAGGCUUAACCUUGGAACUGCCAUCAAAACUUUUUAACUAGAGUGUGAUAGAGGUAAGCGGAAUUUCUAGUGUAGAGGUGAAAUUCGUAGAUAUUAGAAAGAACACCAAUUGCGAAGGCAGCUUUCUGGAUCACUACUGACACUGAGGUGCGAAAGCAUGGGUAGCGAAGAGGAUUAGAUACCCUCGUAGUCCAUGCUGUAAACGAUGUGUGCUAGACGUUGGGAAUUUAUUUUUCAGUGUCGCAGCAAAAGCGUUAAGCACACCGCCUGGGGAGUACGACCGCAAGGUUAAAACUCAAAUGAAUUGACGGGGACCCGCACAAGCAGUGGAGCAUGUGGUUUAAUUCGAAGAUACGCGCAGAACCUUACCAACACUUGACAUGUUCGUCGCGACUCUAGAGAUUAGAGUUUUCGGUUCGGCCGGACGAAACACAGGUGCUGCAUGGCUGUCGUCAGCUCGUGUCGUGAGAUGUUGGGUUAAGUCCCGCAACGAGCGCAACCUUCACUUUUAGUUGCCAUCAUUA